CCUACGGGAGGCUGCAGUGAGGAAUAUUGGUCAAUGGGCGCUAGCCUGAACCAGCCAAGUAGCGUGAAGGAUGACUGCCCUAUGGGUUGUAAACUUCUUUUAUAUGGGAAUAAAGUGCAGUAUGUAUACUGCUUUGCAUGUACCUUAUGAAUAAGGAUCGGCUAACUCCGUGCCAGCAGCCGCGGUAAUACGGAGGAUCCGAGCGUUAUCCGGAUUUAUUGGGUUUAAAGGGAGCGUAGGCGGGUUGUUAAGUCAGUUGUGAAAGGUGGCGGCUCAACCGUAGAAUUGCAGUUGAUACUGGCAAACUGGAGUACAGGAGAGGUAGGCGGAAUUCGUGGUGUAGCGGUGAAAUGCUUAGAUAUCACGAAGAACUCCGAUUGCGAAGGCAGCUUGCUGGACUGUAACUGACGCUGAUGCUCGAAAGUGUGGGUAUCAAACAGGAUUAGAUACCCUAGUAGUC
rnacentral:rRNA from 1 species